rnacentral:rRNA from 1 species
UGCGUAGGCGGACUGCUAAGUCUGGGGUGAAAUCUUGCCGCUUAACGGUAAAAUGGCCUUGGAUACUGGCAGUCUUGAGUGUAGAAGAGGCAGGUGGAAUUCGUAGUGUAGCGGUGAAAUGCAUAGAUAUUACGAAGAACAUCAGUGGCGAAGGCGGCCUGCUGGUCUACAACUGACGCUGAGGCACGAAAGCGUGGGGAGCGAACA